GAUGAACGCUGGCGGCGUGCCUAAUACAUGCAAGUCGAGCGAACAGACGAGGAGCUUGCUCCUCUGACGUUAGCGGCGGACGGGUGAGUAACACGUGGAUAACCUACCUAUAAGACUGGGAUAACUUCGGGAAACCGGAGCUAAUACCGGAUAAUAUAUUGAACCGCAUGGUUCAAUAGUGAAAGACGGUUUUGCUGUCACUUAUAGAUGGAUCCGCGCCGCAUUAGCUAGUUGGUAAGGUAACGGCUUACCAAAGCAACGAUGCGUAGCCGACCUGAGAGGGUGAUAGGCCACACUGGAACUGAGAAACGGUCCCGACUCCUACGGGAGGCAGCAGUAGGGAAUCUUCCGCAAUGGGCGAAAGCCUGACGGAGCAACGCCGCGUGAGUGAUGAAGGUCUUCGGAUCGUAAAACUCUGUUAUUAGGGAAGAACAAAUGUGUAAGUAACUAUGCACGUCUUGACGGUACCUAAUCAGAAAGCCACGGCUAACUACGUG
rnacentral:rRNA from 1 species